AACGAACGCUGGCGGCGCGUCUUAAGCAUGCAAGUCGGACGGCAAGGGUAGCAAUACCCCUAGAGUGGCGGACUGGUGAGUAACACGUGGGUGACCUACCCUUGAGAUGGGGAUAGCCAUUAGAAAUAGUGGAUAAUACCGAAUACGCUCUGGAUGCUAUGGCGACCAGAGGAAAUCAGGCUACGGCCUGGCUCGAGGAUGGGCCCGCGUCCCAUUAGCUAGUUGGUGAGGUAACGGCCCACCAAGGCGACGAUGGGUAUCCGGCCUGAGAGGGUGUACGGACACAUUGGGACUGAGAUACGGCCCAAACUCCUACGGGAGGCAGCAGCUAAGAAUAAUUCCGCAAUGGACGAAAAAUCUGACGGAGCGACGCCGCGUGGAUGAAGAAGGCCGAAAGGUUGUAAAACCUUUUGCUGAUGAAGAAUAAGUGGUGUAGGGAAUGACGUCAUGAUGACAUUAGUCGGUGAAUAAGCCCCGGCUAACUACGUGCCAGCACG
rnacentral:rRNA from 1 species